CAUUCUCAGAGUGCUUGCAGCCAAGUCUCCACACGUGUGCAGGCCGACCACGACAGCCUCCUGGUGGAGAGAAGACAGUAUGAGGCAUAGGUGGAAGUGUGAAGAUCGAUGGUGUCAUGUCCACAGUGGUUUGUGUACAGGCUGCAUGCAGGCUGUGUUUGUGUGCUGUGUUCUCUGUGCAGGGUGUGACUGGCAGAUGCUGCUGCACAGGUGUUGCUCAUCUGAGAGCAAUCAGCUGGGCUACUUAUGGAGUGGAAACCCAGAGGGAGGCAUCAGCUCGUUUUCUCACUUGGCGUGAUCACCCUUCGCUGAAGGAAGUCGUGGAACAUUUCUGGUCUCUGUUUUCACUCGUGUCAUGUUCAGAGGAGUUUUGGAACUCCAGCUUUGACACCUCAGCCCUGAGUCUCCUCUCUGCUUCCAACUCCAAGCCCAGAUUUUCAGAAGUCACCUGAGAACCACCCGUCAACCUGCCUGUCCACCCUCCAACGUUAAAACUCUCCAACCAUAGUGAAGUUUCCUGGAAGAGAAGAAAUGAAGCACUUCAUCCUAAAAAAAAUGUUCACAGCCUGUCAGCCUCAAGCCACUGUGGAGAAGGACUUAUUUUCCCCCGGUCUUGCCAAGAACCCCACCCCUCUAAGUCAGCAUCUAAAAGAACACCUUCAAAGUUUCUCCGUUUCCACCCAGAGCGUUUACCAGCUUCUGUCUUUAUCCCUCAGAGACCCCACGCAUUUGUCCACCAGCUCCAGCCCUGGUUCCAGUCCGACCUUUAUCUGUGUUUCUAAAUAAACUUGUUAAAAUGC